GAGGGAUUCGAUGCCAAAUCGAGCAACGAGAGGGAUUCUGUGGACUUCGAGUAGCGGUUGUCCGAUCGUAGAACACUCAUUUCAUUUUGGUAGAUACUAAGCUCAAUGAACUAGAUGUCAUACCAAAAGGAAACAGGUGUGUCGGAACUAGGCUAAAAUGGAGGAGCAAUGGUGGGGUAGAGGUGCGGCAGUGGCAGUAGUGGGGCAGUGGGGCAGUGUCACGACCCCAAAUACCGGCCGUGAUGUCGCUUAUCACAUUACUAGGCAAACCAACUAAUCAAUAACCACAACCCUCUUUCUAACAACAUUAAGCCAUUUUCCAACACAAGUUUUAGAUACCAAAUUCAUUGUAAGCGUUACGACAACAAAGAUAUGCAAAAAGUCAAAAUAACAAUAAACUACACAGCCCCAACAAUCUGGUGUCAUGAGUCUAGAGCCUCUAAUACAAGUCUGAAUACCCAAUACAUCAAUAGUCUAGGAAAUGUGAAAAAAUAAUAAGAUAGGAGGGAGAGAACAGGGCUGUGGACACCAUGUAGCUACCUCGAAGUCUCCGUCAAAUACUGAAACAGUUGAAAGCCCUCACUCGGCCUCUCGGGCACCUGGAUCUGCAUAUAAGAUGCAUGGAGUAACGUGAAUACACCAAUUCAGUAAGUAACUAGAGUAAAUAAGGAUUGAAAGCAGUGGCGAGCAGUUCAAAAAUACAUAACUAAAUAAUGAACAGAAUAUCAUGUCAUCUUUUACAGUUUAAAAUCCGUUUUCGUUAUAAAAAAUCACGUUUCCAGUUUAAACAUUUGAAAUUAAAUACUUAAAGGUAUAUCAACAGAGGCUUAUUUAAAAGAAGAGUGAAAUCAGUGAAAACUUUAUAAUAAGGCCUCUCAGGAAAGGAAUCACUCAGAAUAUGGCCCCUCGGGUAGCCUUUCAGUCACUCGUGACUCGACUCUCGUUACACAGUACUCACUCUCAGCACUCGGCUCAUUAGUAUCUCAUAAUUAUAGAAAUCAUAGUAACCACUGCGACAUGCAUCCCGAUCCACAUAUAAUAGUUGACUACGCUCAAUGGGGGUGUCAGACUCCGGAGGGGCUCCUAUAGCCCAAGCGUCAUAUCACUGCGGUGUGUAGCCCGAUCCAAUAUACAUAUCGAUGCAGCGUGCAGCCCAAUCCAUAAUAGUAUUAUUGUGGCGUGCAGCCCGAUCCAUAACUCAUAUAUAUAUAUAUAUAUCCUCACAACUGGGUUCUCAAUCACUCUUGGUCUUUAACCUCACAGCCUCUCGGGCACAAUAAUGGAAAUUAGGGGACUCAGCCCAAACAGUCCUCACAAUUGGGAGUAAAGUAAUAAAACUAAUUUUAAACAUUUAAGCAGGUAAAACAUGACUGAGGAUUUGCUUCUAGCAUGUAAAGUGAGGAAAAAUAGUCAAAAUACCCCUAAGGGUUUCUACAGGUCGGCACAAGACCCCAAAAAAGGCAUGCAGCCCAUGAUAUAGUAUAAAUAUCCAAGAUACGGAAUAACAUAAUAUUUCCAAAUCAAAUACGCGGCUUAAUAGUCUCUACGGGACGGACCAAGUCAUAAUCCCUACCGAUGCACGCCCACACGCUCGUCACCUAGCAUGUGCAUCACCGCGUUUANNNNNNNNNNNNNNNNNNNNNNNNNGGUGAAAUACUACUCCGCGAUACCUUUUCCCGUCUAAUCGGCCUCCACGCGCGUCGAAUCUAUCCAAAAUCAGGACGAGGAUGUCAAAAUAUGCCAAGGGAACGAAGCCUAAGCGAAAACAAUCAAAAAAAUACCAAAAAUCCCGAAAUUACUAAAAUCCGACCCCCAGGCCCACGUCUCGAAAUUAAGAAAUUUUUACUUCAAUAGAUUCCUCGUCUCCCCACGAGUCUAUGCAUAUCAAGAACACUAAAAUCGGAGUCCAAAUGGCCCCUCAAAUCCUCCUUUAAAGGCCUCUUAUACUCAAGCCCUAAUCCUCCAUUCUUAGCCUUUAAUAUUCCACUAAAACCAUGAUUAAACAGUGGAAAAAUGAUCUUAAACCCAGGUAAUUAAGCUUAGGGAACUUACCCAACCGAUAUCCUUUGAUUCGUCUUGAGAUCCUUUGCCUUAGCCUCUUUCCCGUCUUCAAAAUGGAGCUCCUUGCAAAGAUUCACGAAGGAAGCAAUAUCUACCUUCUGGCUAGGGAUUUUUGCAUCUGCGACACGCCCACCGCUUCUGCGGCACCGUAUAUGCGGUCAAAUUACCGCUUCCGCGGUUAUUCACUUAAAUGACCAACUUCGCAUCUGCGGUCAACUCUCCGCACCUGCGCCUUCGCAAGUGCGGUCAGACUACCGCAUCUGCGGUUCUUGCUGUUCCCUCCAAAAUCCACUUUUGCGGCUGCUGUUAUGCACGUGCGGCAUCGCAUCUAUGGUCCUCAAUCCGCAGGUGCGGAAAUACCAGAAGCAGCUGAGGUUCAGCAACUUCACAGGUCUAAACCUUUCCGUCAACCAUCCGAAAUCAUCCCGAGGCCCCCAGGACCUCAACCAAAAGUACCAACAUAUCCUAAUACCUUGUUCAAACUUGUUUCAAUCAUCAAAACACUUCAAACAACAUCAAAUCACCCAAAACACAUCGGAUUUAAGCCAAACUUUCUAAAAUCUUCCAAAUUACGUUUUCCAUCAAAAACCCAAUCAAACCAUGUCCGAAUGACCUGAAAUUUUUUACACACAUCCCAAAUGACACAACGGAACUACUGUAACUCUUAGAAUUCAAUUCUGACCCCUAUAUAAAAAUCUCGCCUAUCAACCGGAAAUCGCCAAAAUAACAACUUCGCCAAUUCAAGCCUAAAUCUAUUACGGACCUCCAAAAUUCAUUCUGGUCGCUUUCCUAAGCCACAAAUCACCUCCCAAAACUAACCAAACCAUCAGAACUCUCAUAUGAGCCCUCUAACAUAUAAGUCAAUUUCUGGUUGACUUUUUUUCAACUUAAACUUCUUUAAAAGAAACUAGGUGUCUCAAACCUUACCAAAUUCCUUCCGGAUUCGAUCCAACCAAUCCGAUAUCACAUAACAUGAAUAAACAAAGCAUAAAGAAGCAUAAAUGGGGAAAACAGGGCGGUAACUCAUGAGACGACUAGGCAGGUCGUCACAGGUGGCCGCCGAAAUUCAACCUAAUUUUGGUCACCGGAUUUAGGACAAACACUAACACAAAGAGAUAGAACCAAGCAAGACAUAUACGUAUAUAGAAUUUUUAUGUGAAAAUAGGGCAUGAAACUUCAUCAAUUUGGGAAAAAGGAGGCUAGGGUUUUUUUGGAUUUUAGUAGAUUUAUCGAGAAUGGUGGAGAUUUGGAGGAUAUGAGGCUUGGAUUCAUGGAAAGGAGGUUGAGAGGAAGAAAUGGUAAAAUUUUGGGGUGGUUUGGACUCCGGUGGAUGGCGGCGGGCGGUGGUUCUGCCAUGGAGAGGGGCGGUGGCUGAGAGAGAAUGGAGAUAGAGAUAGAGGGGGCUAGGGUUUUAGGUUAU
rnacentral:lncRNA from 1 species